UGUCAGUCUCUGCAGCUGAGCCCCGAUCUCCGACUCGCUGAGCUGAGGACUCAAACUCAUCCCCCUCUCUGAGAGAGAGAGACAGAGAGAGAGAGAAGGACAGACAGAGACUGAAAGACAGUGUGUGUAAAAGAAACAGAGAGGAAGAGCUAGCAAAAUAGGGGAUGUGAAGAGAAAGUAAAAGACAAGCAGAGAAGAAGAGGAAUGAAACAGGUGGAGUGGGACUUGCACAGGAUCAGGACUGACUAGAAUAACUGAUGCGUCUGCCAUCGCUAUCACAGCUGCAGUCAAAGCCGAAGCAUCUGCAUCUGUGUAUCUGUGGGUGAGAGGGGUGCGAGUCACCCAGCAGGAGCUCCUUGGAGAGCAGCGCUCCAUCCAUCCCGAGGCCAUACAUCACGUCCAUUUCUUAUUUGCCCAGGCCGGCCGGCCCCUUGGAUCAGCGACGGAGGGAACGCGAGCAGUCUCUGACAACAAAGAGAGCAGUGCUGGGAUCGCAGGGGCCUACCAGAAGUAGCACCAAAUCCACAGCUGUCAGCGCACAAAGAGUGCAGGCUCAUUUAUAUCUUCACAACUGUCAGCCUGACUUCCCCAAUCCAAAUCUAUAUGCACAUGGCUGCCAGCCUUCUGCUUCACCAUCUCAGCUCCUUAAUGCUGUCACACUAUCAAACUGCCAAUUUGGUGAGAUUGUAGAUCUCAAUCUUUUUUCCCCCUUUUACUUUUCCUUGAGGCAGAUUAAAGUUUAUGAGAGUUUGGUCGGAAAAUAAAGGAUGCCUGUGACACAUUUGAUUGCUAAGCAUGACUUGAUAUCAAACUCUAUGUGAGUCGUCUUAAAUGGUGCCAUAAAACAGCAUUUUAGGCAGUUUUACAAGUCAAUUAAGGCAAGCUUGUGAGUUCCACAGGCCUGGUGUCAAGUCAGCCUGCCCCACACACACCAUCAUCAGCUCCAUAUGGCCACACCACAUACACCACCCAGACGCCUUUCUGGGUUGAUGGGGGGGGGGGGCUCCUUUUUGAGUAUGAGUGUGUGCUGAAUCUAAAAUGUAAACAAGCUCUGUGUGUGAGUGCAAUCUUAAAUGUAAAUGUUUCUC